rnacentral:rRNA from 1 species
AUUGAACGCUGGCGGCAGGCCUAACACAUGCAAGUCGAGCGGAUGAAGGGAGCUUGCUCCUGGAUUCAGCGGCGGACGGGUGAGUAAUGCCUAGGAAUCUGCCUGGUAGUGGGGGAUAAUGUCCGGAAACGGGCGCUAAUACCGCAUACGUCCUGAGGGAGAAAGUGGGGGAUCUUCGGACCUCACGCUAUCAGAUGAGCCUAGGUCGGAUUAGCUAGUUGGUGGGGUAAAGGCCUACCAAGGCGACGAUCCGUAACUGGUCUGAGAGGAUGAUCAGUCACACUGGAACUGAGACACGGUCCAGACUCCUACGGGAGGCAGCAGUGGGGAAUAUUGGACAAUGGGCGCAAGCCUGAUCCAGCCAUGCCGCGUGUGUGAAGAAGGUCUUCGGAUUGUAAAGCACUUUAAGUUGGGAGGAAGGGCAGUAAGUUAAUACCUUGCUGUUUUGACGUUACCAACAGAAUAAGCACCGGCUAACUUCGUG